rnacentral:lncRNA from 1 species
CCGCCGACCCUUUCUCUUUCUCCCAAAUAUUUCUCCAUGCCAAACAAGAAGAAUUCACCAUGGAAAACAAUUAUUUGGGGCAUGGAAGCCCUUAGGGGCAUGAGGAUUUAAUGUGAGGUUCUCCUUGUUUGAUUUGGUCAAGGAUUAAGUCCAAGUCCAAAUGGUAUUUGGAAUCCAAUCUGAAUUAGGUUAAGUCCAAUCCCAUGAGACUCAUAAAAUCCAAUUCAAAUCA